CCCUAUGUCGCUCCGAUUCGUCCCUCCCCCCCUCACACCCCACCUCUCCCCUAUCCCCUCUCCCCGACCCCGGCCCUGAGGUUUGAACCCCCCCGGCAACGCGCCCGCUCUGCCCCCCCGACCCUUCGACGACUCUGCUGGUCGGGAUCCGCGCACGGAAAAUAUGGCAAAGGCAUGGGAACUUGGAAGCCUGACCCGGCACACGGCUCACAUGGUGCCUAGGCCCCCGGCUCCCAUGGUGCCCACGAGCCAAGACACGUGCCACCGCCCGUGCCAUGAGGCCUGCCUCGGGGCCUAGCAUGGUGCCCACGGGCCGAGCCAAGACACGCGACGCGUGCCACCCGCCCGUGCCAUGACGCGUGCCUCGGGGCCUAGCAUGGUGCCCACGGGCCGAGCCAAGACACGGGACGCGUGCCACCCGCCCGUGCCAUGACGCGUGCCUCAGGGCCUUGCAUGGUGCCAACGGGCCGAGCCAAGACACGSGACGCGUGCCACCCGCCCGUGCCAUGACGCGUGCCUCGGGGCCUWGCAUGGUGCCCCCGRGCCGAGCCAAGACACGCGACGCGUGCCACCCNGCCCGUGCCAUGACGCGUGCCWCGGGGCCUAGCAUGGUGCCCACGGGCCGAGCCAAGACACGGGACGCGUGCCACCCGCCCGUGCCAUGACGCGUGCCUCAGGGCCUUGCAUGGUGCCAACGGGCCGAGCCAAGACACGSGACGCGUGCCACCCGCCCGUGCCAUGACGCGUGCCUCRGGGCCUWGCAUGGUGCCMMCGRGCCGAGCCAAGACACGCGACGCGUGCCACCCGCCCGUGCCAUGACGCGUGCCUCGGGGCCUAGCAUGGUGCCCCCGAGCCGAGCCAAGACACGCGACGCGUGCCACCCNGCCCGUGCCAUGACGCGUGCCUCGGGGCCUAGCAUGGUGCCCCCGAGCCGAGCCAAGACACGCGACGCGUGCCACCGCCCGUGCCAUGACGCGUGCCACGGGGCCUAGCAUGGUGCCCACGGGCCGAGCCAAGACACGGGACGCGUGCCACCCGCCCGUGCCAUGACGCGUGCCUCGGGGCCUAGCAUGGUGCCCACGGGCCGAGCCAAGACACGCGACGCGUGCCUCGGGGCCUAGCAUGGUGCCCCCGAGCCGAGCCAAGACACGCGACGCCUGCCACCGGGGGCCUUGCAUGGUGCCCACGAGCCGAGCCAAGACACGUGACGCGUGCCACCCGCCCGUGCCAUGACGCGUGCCACGGGGCCUUGCAAUGGUGCCCACGGGCCGAGCCAAGACACGUGACGCGUGCCACCCGCCCGUGCCAUGACGCGUGCCACGGGGCCUUGCAUGAUGCCCACGAGCCGAGCCAAGACACGUGACGCGUGCCACCGCCCGUGCCAUGACGCGUGCCACGGGGCCUUCCAUGGUGCCCACGGGGCCUUGCAUGGUGCCCACGAGCCGAGCCAAGACACGUGACGCGUGCCACCGCCCGUGCCAUGACGCGUGCCACGRGGCCUUCCAUGGUGCCCACGGGCCGAGCCAAGACACGUGACGCGUGCCACCUCGCGUGCCAUGACGCAUGCCACGGGGCCUUCCAUGGUGCCCACGGGCCGAGCCAAGACACGCGUGCCACCUCUCGUGUCAUGACGCGUGCCACGGGGCCUUGCAUGGUGCCCGCGAGCCGAGCCAAGACACGUGGCGUGCCACCGCCCGUGCCAUGACGCGUGCCACGGGGCCUUGAAUAGUGCCCACGAGCCGAGCCAAGACACGUGACGCGUGCCACCCUCCGUGCCAUGAUGCGUGCCACGGGGCCUUGCAUGGUGCCCGCGAGCCGGGCCAAGACACGUGACGCGUGCCACAGCAGUUGUAAUGACCCACGAAAUGGUACUAGAGGCUGUGCUAGGACACGUGACGCGUGCCACCUCCCAUGCCAUGACGCAUGCCACGGGGCCUUACAUGGUGCUCGCGAGCCGAGCCAAGACACGUGACGCGUGCCACAACAGUUGCAAUGACCCACGAAAYGGUGCUAGAGGCUGUGCUAGGACACGUGACCCAUGCCAUGAUGCGUGCCACAGCCCCCAUGCCARGGUGCCACGGCCCAAGCCACGACACGUCUCGUGUGCCACCACCCGUGCCACGAGACCUGGAAUGACUCAUUCCAUGGUGGUAGAGGCUGUGCCAAGACACAUGGCCCGUGCCCUAUCUGGCUUUCGACCCUGAUGCCUUGACAAGGUUCCGGAUUAUGGUCUAUUGCUACUCACGGAAUGCUAUUAGUCCAUGGAUUCAUGUUGCAAAGGUUUUUCGCUAUUUUUUUAUCACAUGGUUUUUAAGUAAAAAAAUUUUAAAAUAAAUUUGUUUUGGACAAUCCUUGGAUUCGUGUUUAAUAAUUUGUUCCCAUCUCAAAUACAAUUUUAAAAAAUAUUUAAAGUAAUUUUUACUUAUUUUCCCUAUUUUUCCCCUAUUUUUAUAAGCAAAAAAACUAAAAAAAAAUAUUUUUUGGCCAAGAGAGCUUGAAUAAUCCUUGAAUUUGUCUUCCAUAAAAUUCUCCCUUGUGAAAUACAUUUUUUAAAAGUAUUUAGGCUAUUUUUUACUAAUUUUCCCUAUUUUUUACUAUUUUCUAAGUAAAAAUAUUUWWAAAAAAAAUUAAUUUUUGAGAGAUAAGUUGCAUUAAUUCAUGGAUUCCUAUCCCAGAUGUUUUUCCCAUGUGAAAUAUAAUUUUUAAAAAUAUUUUCAGUAUUUUUUACUAUUUUUCCCUAUUUUUCCCUAUUUUUCUGGACAAAAAAAUUAAAAUAAAUAUUUUCUGGGCCGAAAUUUUUUUUAUUUUUUUUCCAUGGGUUCAUAUAAAUAUUAUAAAGAGAUUCAGCAAAAAAAACGGAAUUAAAAACUCUUUUUUAAUUAAAAAACGGCAUUAUGUCUCCUCAAGCAUGGGUGAUGUCUCCUCAAGGCAUUCCCAAAAUGGCCCAAAAUGCUCUUUAAGGGGGGGGUGCUGUCCUCAAUGGGCUGGCAGCACCACCCGCCCAGGCACGCUGCAGCGCGUGCCGCCCUUGGCGUGCAGGCUGCCCAUGCCACCCUAGGCAUGCGCCCGCAUAUGCCACCCUCAAGCCCACGACACGCUAAUGCGAAGAGAGCAUGCCCACGACACCGUUGGGAGCCCUCGCACGCAACAGCAGUCGCCCCGUGCCCCGUACACGCUGCACCCCCGGUGCGUCCCAUGCCCAUGCGGACACGCCUCCCCCCCAUGCAACGAGUGCCAAUGGCCCAACGUCGCGGCUCACCCCGGGGGGCUCACCCAUGCCUCCCGCCCGACGUUGCCCAUCAAAAGGCACACGGAUGCCCCUCCCCCCAUGCAACGAGCGCCCUCCCCGGGCACUCGGCCCCGUCUCGKCUCGUCGAGGAGCCCUCAAGCCCUCGAGCGAGCAUGUUGCCUCGAAAAGACGUGCCAAUGGCCAAYGUCGCGGCUCACCCCGGGGGCUCACCCAUGCCUCCCGCYYGACMUUGCCCAUCGAAAGGCACGCCUCGUCCCUCCCGUCUCGACGAGGAGCCYUCGAGCCCUCGAGCGAGCUUGUUGCCUCGAAAAAGAGUAGAYGCAUCGUCGCCAUGCCUAUAUCGGUCCUAUGAAGGCUUCACUCGUUGCUCCCGUGUGCUUGUCAGGAGUCACCUCCGGAUGGGUCGCGGUUCGACGCGUGGUGCCGUGUCRUAGUGAACCUGAUGGCGUGUGAGUGGUGUUUGGGUCGCGUGGGUCGGCAGGCUCCUUGCUCGUGCAACGAACUGUCGCCCCACCCCCCUCUUCAUUCCGAGCCCCAAGCGCCGCAACGGGCCUUGGGCGCCGCGAUACCGUGGUUCCUGUGUUGCCUUCCUAACGGAUGGAAUUGUCCCUCGAACGUUGCCUAUCUCCGCCCGGCUCCCGCUCAYGCGGUGCGGGCGGACCUCGAAAGCGGUCGCCGCGUCCCAYGGUCGCCCCACGCGUGCACACGCACGAGGGGGGUCGAGCUUGGCCCGCGACGGCMGCUCGUGCUCUCGGAUGCGGAACCUUAAAACGAGCGUGGGGUCUUCGGAUCCCGUACUCGCUCGAGCUAAGCGUUCGUCGCUAGACGCGUACGACRGYCGUCAYCGUCUUUGCCCUCCCGUCCCGCUCCCCUCGGGGGGCGUCGGCCAGGCGCAUGCGGUGCCGGCGUCGCACAGGAAUGC
rnacentral:misc_RNA from 1 species